ACAAAGGGGUGCCCUCCGGGCUGAGAUCAUACCCUCGAACCUGAUGCAGUUAGUACUGCCGUAGGGAUUUGUAAG
rnacentral:ncRNA from 1 species